rnacentral:piRNA from 1 species
UGUCUAUGAAAACUACAUUAC